CUGCCGUGCUGCUCUCCUGCAGCCAUUUUGUUCCAUUAAUGUAAAUUUUGCUGUCUGCUGGUUCUCAGCCAGCAGCACAUGAGUUCAGUCUCCAUAUGAGACAAACUCACAAUUUCUUCAUGUAACUACCAAGUAAAGCCUGCCUUUCAGGGAUCAUAUCGUGAACUGAAAUCCCCUCCAGAAGGGAAAGAAGCAAACAGAAGGGAGAGCAGGAAGAGAAGUGAAGACUGCUAAUUGAAAGACCAAAGACAGAAACGGCUACAUUGGUAUCAACA